UACUUAUUAUUAAAUAGAUAAACCCGAAAAAUAAAGAUCUACGCUUGUUUUAGUGUUUAGAAUAUUAAUGUGUAAUAUAGCAUUAUUACUAUAAAAAAUUAGUGUAGGGGUGAAACACUUUCAAUUUAUUUGAUAACUGGAUUAAACUGAAAUGAAUUUAGUUCAUUAGAUAAUUACAAAGUUAUAAGAUUUUGUAAGCACGAGAAUAAAAAUUAUAAAUUUUUCAAAGAAGUAAACUUCAAAUUGAAUAGAGAGUAAAAUAUUAAGAUUUAUGUUAAUCUGCUUUUUAGGUUUAUAUCAAAUUAAAUUUCUUAAUGGAUUAAUAAUGCUUAAAUUAGUAAAUCAGUUAAUCUAACGGAAGGAACUCGGCAAAUAUAAUUUUCAACUAGUUUAACAAAAACAUAGCUUUAAGAUAAUAUAUUUAAAGUUUAAUCUGCCCAGUGAAUAUUUUAACGGCCGCAGUACAUUGACUGUGCUAAGGUAGCAUAAUAAGUUGACUUUUAAAUGGAGUCGGGUAUGAAAGGAUAGCUGGAGAUUACCUGUCUCAGGUUAUUUACAUUUAAAUUACUUAAAAGGUGAAAAUUCCUUUACAACUCAUGAUAGACGAGAAGACCCUGAGAAUUAUUAUUAAAAAAAUAUGUUUUACUAAAUUUUUGUUGGGGCAACAAAUUAGGUUUAACCGAAUUAGAAGUAAAUCUCACGUAAUGAUUUUAUAGAUUGAUAUAAAUUACCUCAGGGAUAACAGCAUAAUUAUUUAUAUAGAUUGUGACCUCGAUGUUGGACUAAGGACCUUAUUAAAUAGCCUUUAAUAAGGAUAGUUCUGUUCGAACUGAUAACCUUACAU
rnacentral:rRNA from 1 species